UGGUGGUGGGGUCUUUUCCCAUGGGGCCCGGCCGGGCCCAGCCCGAAAGAGCGACGUGGGCCCACCCUCCUGUGGGUUCACCAUCUGCAGAGGGGGCCAUUGGGGUCGUGUACAGAGAGGACUGGGUAGCGGUCGAGGGCAGGCGGCCCGGUCCGUGCUCACAGCCUCUGGCUCUGGGG